rnacentral:rRNA from 1 species
AGUGAACGCUGGCGGUAGGCCUAACACAUGCAAGUCGAACGGCAGCACAGUAAGAGCUUGCUCUUACGGGUGGCGAGUGGCGGACGGGUGAGGAAUACAUCGGAAUCUACUUUUUCGUGGGGGAUAACGUAGGGAAACUUACGCUAAUACCGCAUACGACCUACGGGUGAAAGCAGGGGAUCUUCGGACCUUGCGCGAUUGAGUGAGCCGAUGUCGGAUUAGCUAGUUGGCGGGGUAAAGGCCCACCAAGGCGACGAUCCGUAGCUGGUCUGAGAGGAUGAUCAGCCACACUGGAACUGAGACACGGUCCAGACUCCUACGGGAGGCAGCAGUGGGGAAUAUUGGACAAUGGGCGCAAGCCUGAUCCAGCCAUACCGCGUGGGUGAAGAAGGCCUUCGGGUUGUAAAGCCCUUUUGUUGGGAAAGAAAAGCAGCAGGUUAAUACCCCGCUGUUCUGACGGUACCCAAAGAAUAAGCACCGGCUAACUUCGU